rnacentral:rRNA from 1 species
UACGAAGGGGGCUAGCGUUGUUCGGAAUUACUGGGCGUAAAGCGCGCGCAGGCGGUCUUCCAAGUCAGUGGUGAAAGCCCGGAGCUCAACUCCGGAACUGCCAUUGAAACUGUGAGACUCGAGUACGAGAGAGGUGAGUGGAAUUCCCAGUGUAGAGGUGAAAUUCGUAGAUAUUGGGAAGAACACCGGUGGCGAAGGCGGCUCACUGGCUCGUAACUGACGCUCAGGCACGACAGCGUGGGGAUCAAACAGG